rnacentral:rRNA from 1 species
UGAGCAAUCUGCCCUUCACAUCGGAAUAACCAUUGGAAACGAUGGCUAAUACCGAAUAUGACUUCGGAUCGCAUGAUCUGAAGUGGAAAGCUCCGGCGGUGAAGGAUAAGCUCGCGGCCUAUCAGCUUGUUGGUGAGGUAAUAGCUCACCAAGGCGAUGACGGGUAGCCGGCCUGAGAGGGCGACCGGCCACACUGGGACUGAGACACGGCCCAGACUCCG